rnacentral:rRNA from 1 species
AUGGGCAACACCGGGAGUACAUCUCCUGCAAGCUUAGGAAAGUCUCAUGUUCCACAUUUACAAUGGAAGGUUCAUGACUUCUCAGCGCUACUUGAGACAGGAGCCAAGUCAGCAAAAUCUGCUCAUUUUCACUGCUCCGGGUAUAAGUGGUUCCUGAAAGUGACACCACCAAUGCAUCAAAAACCUAGCGCUGAAACUCCAUAUGUUGGUCUUUCUCUUAAACUAGGCCGGACAACCCUGAAGCCGGGUGACACGGUAAAUGCCGUGUUUGAGUUAUCAGUAUACAAUCAUGCAAAGAAGAUAUACUAUGGACGCAAAGCUACCCACAAUUUUCAUUUGAACAAUACAUGCUCGAAGGAUGAAUGUUUGAUUCCUCUUCAGAAGCUACUAAAAUCAUCUGCUUUUCUAGUUGAUGAUAGCUGUGUCUUUGGUGUUAAGAUAUUGAAAAUUAAAGUGUGUUCUCCUGAAAAGAAGGCUGUUAUGGUUCUGAAGAAGGCUACCACACUUCAGAACCUUUUUAUCCAGAAGAAAGGGCUCAUCAAAGGGACCUACACCUGGACCAUGGACAACUACCAUGAAUUGGACUUGAAGCGCUAUGUUUGUUCUCCUACAUUUGAAGUUGGUGGACAUAAAUGGCAUGUUGGCAUGUAUCCGCAUGGUUGCAGAAACAUCACCGGCCACAUCUCCUUGUUCUUAUACUUGGAGUCCUCGGAUAAGCUUUGUGACGAGUCCGGGAAGGUAGUUGAAUUGACUCUAUCCAUCCUAGACCAAAAGAACGGGAAACACUCCACCAUCACUUCAGGUCUCUCGGUGUUUGGAGGUGAUAGCAGCUGGGGAUGGCCCAAGUUCCUUACAGUCAAUAGAUUCAAGGAUCCGUCUCGAGGCUAUGUCCUAGGAUCGAGAUGCGUCGUCAAGGCAGAUUUCACUAUUGUUGGCUCCUCCAAUGAUGGCUAG